rnacentral:rRNA from 1 species
AGCGAACGCUGGCGGCAUGCUUAACACAUGCAAGUCGCACGAACCUUUCGGGGUUAGUGGCGGACGGGUGAGUAACGCGUAGGAAUCUGUCCACGGGUGGGGGAUAACUCUGGGAAACUGGAGCUAAUACCGCAUGAUACCUGAGGGUCAAACUAGCAAGUCGCCUGUGGAGGAGCCUGCGUUCGAUUAGCUAGUUGGUGGGGUAAAGGCCUACCAAGGCGAUGAUCGAUAGAUGGUUUGAGAGAAUGAUCAGCCACACUGGGACUGAGACACGGGCCAGACUCCUACGGGAGGAAGCAGUGGGGAAUAUUGGACGAUGGGGGCAACCCUGAACCAGCAAUGCCGCGUGUGUGAAGAAGGUAUUCGGAUUGUAAAGCACUUUCGACGGGGUCGAGGAUGACGAUACCCGUAGAAGAAGCCCCGGCUAACUUCGUGCCAGCCGCCGCUGUAA